CACUUCUCAGGGUCCACCUGGAGAGUUUCCAGUACUCUACCAGCCUUGAUUACGGGAGGGAGAGUCAAGCAGAGGCAUACCCAUUCCAUUCCUAGCUUGGGCAGUGGUUAGCGAGUGGAAGUCCAUCUGCUACAAGU